UCAAUAUAUGCGCCCGAGUUCCUGAGUUGGAACCCGGCGUCUCCAAAGACUUCUGUCCUUUGUGCACUUGGCUGAGGCUUACAACGGAACAACUUCCUAAACAACUCGAGGCUUGGAGGAACUCCCAAAUAAACUUCGCAGAGGUGUACGAAAAUGGACAUAUGUAGUACACCAUUGGGGUUCAAAUGAACAAGUUGAAGCUUAUAGUACUCGAGGAUACCUCUGAAGAAGUCGGAGGUGGGCACUGCCAACCCCCUCUCCACAAAGUGUGCGAGCAUCACUGUCUCGCCUGGAUGUUCCUCAAAUUGCCACGCAUUUGGAAAAGCU
rnacentral:lncRNA from 1 species